rnacentral:rRNA from 1 species
UACAGAGGUCCCAAGCGUUGUUCGGAUUCAUUGGGCGUAAAGAGCGUGUAGGCGGCCCGAUAAGUCCGCUGUGAAAGUCCAAGGCUCAACCUUGGGAUGCCGGUGGAAACUGUCGGGCUAGAGUCCGGAAGAGGCGAGUGGAAUUCCUGGUGUAGCGGUGAAAUGCGCAGAUAUCAGGAGGAACACCGGUGGCGAAGGCGGGUCUCUGGGCAGUAACUGACGCUGAGGAGCGAAAGCGUGGGGAGCGAACAGG